ensembl:lncRNA
CUGGGACGCGUGGCAACAACAGAUGUCUGCCGUGCAGCUGGGACAUGAACAAAGUCAGAGGGAGGAUCUGCAGGAGGCUGUGGUAGGAGGCUGAGGCCGCAGGGCAAGUGCAGCUCCUUCCCCAGCCACAGAGACCCCAUUUCAGUGCUGUCAAAUGCUUCAGAGCAACAGCUAAGAAAUUCUUUCCAUAUCUGCUGUUAAUUAGUAACUGCUUAUUUACAUCUAGGAAAGGCAAACACUGGUCUGCCUCUUCUGGAGUGCCGUGCUUCAGGAUUAGCGACAGACAGACCUUCUGCAGCUCACGACAUUUACCUACUGUAUUUUCUUUAACAGCUGAAGUAAUGACAUCUUAUUGACAGCACAGCAGAGCAAACAAUGUCUUACUGAAAGCUUCAGUGCUGGAUUUGGGCUGUCCUAAGGACCUGAGACCAAGUAAAGUAAGCAGGUUUUGCUACUGAAUGAAAGACAAUGACUGUUCUAGUUCACCGGUGGCCUUUAGCACUCCUAGACACAAAAAAGACAAGUAUCCUUCCAGAGAGGACGUAGGGAAGAUCAGAGAAUCAGAAUCCUUAGAGUUGGAAGGGACCUUUAAAGGUCAUCUAGACCAACUUCCCUGCAGUGAACAGUGAACAGGGACACCACAGCAAGAUCAGUUGCUCAGGUUGCUAGAUCAGGUCCAGCCUGACCUUGAAUGUCUCCAGGGAUGGUACAUCCACCACAGCUCCGGACAACCUGUUCCAGUGCUUUAUUAUUAAUACCACAAAAAAAAAAAAAAAAAACCCACCUUUUCUUUAUAUCCAACCUAAAUCUCCCCUCUUUAAGUCUGAAACCAUUUCCCCCUGUCCUAUCACCACAGACCCUGCUGAAGAGUCAGUCCCCUCCUUCCUCACGGCCCCUUCAGACACCAACAGGCCGCCCUCAGGUCUCCCCACAGCCUUCUCCUCCUCGGGAGGAACGAGCAGCGGGGGCAGAGCCACAGGGCCGGGUUUCACCUAAAUCAGCAUGAUAAUCACAUUGCUUUGCAGAACAUUGUCCUUAACAGAGGUUGUUCUUAGCCUGAUCCUUAAUAAAGGGGAUAAUAGUUCGUGAGAACAACGGUCACAGGAGAUAUUUCUAGUCAGCUUUUGUUCUUGUACUUGGCCAGUUUGUGUGCUGCCUAAGGGUAUAAAUAGAGGGACUAUAGUGGGGAUUAGCAGACUUUCUUUCCAGCCGGUCUCGUGUGCCAAAGCGAUGACUCUAUUAGCAUUGUUUCCCCUGAAAGGUUUGUUUCACUCCGGCUUUCAGAAACCAGCACAAAGGCACCAAGCCCUUCCCGAGGCCCCAUUUUCUCCUCCUCUAAUACCGGGAGCGUGUGCUUCCACCUGGGACAACCCAAGCGCUCUCCACCUCCCCUUGGCGACAGGGGGAAGGUUGCUCUGAGGGUUCUACACCUCUGCAAGCUGUUCUACACCUCAGCACCGCAGAGACGCUUUUUGGAUAGCAUUUAACACUCAGUAUUCUGUAGAUGAAGUGGAAGUUAGCGAUGGCUUUGGCCUUUCGUGUGCCUCAAAGAUAGAGCGCAUCGAAUGUCUCCUAUGUACGGUCACCCCAACACUGCGUGUUAGAGGGCAGAGAAACCCGGAGUUAAAGGCUAGGCCUCACCUCUCUGAGCUUUAGAGCAUGGACAGCAAUAUAUAACAAAGUCACCCUGGGAUCCCUUUGUAAUUAACAAAUAGGCACCUUUCAGGUCUGAUCCUUCUGAUCCAUUUUGACUGACAUUGGUAUGCAGUGAAUCACCUGGGGUUAAACAAACACGGUACUCUGUUGUCUGUAGAUGACCAAACAAGGUUGUAUUUCUGCUUCAGUUCUCUAUCACAUGGGCAAUUUACUGAGCACCCAGCUUCUCAGUUUUCUUUCUCUCUUUUUUCUUUUUCUUUCUUUCUUUCUCUCUUUUUUCAUUUCCUUCUUUCCUUCCUUCCUUCCUUCCUUCCUUCCUUCCUUCCUUCCUUCCUUCCUUCCUUCCUUCCUUCCUUCCUUCCUUCCUUCCUUCCUUCCUUCCUUCCUUCCUUCCUUCCUUCCUUCCUUCCUUCCUUCCUUCCUUCCUUCCUUCCUUCCUUCCUUCCU